GAUGAAGAACGUAGCGAAAUGCGAUACUUGGUGUGAAUUGCAGAAUCCCGUGAACCAUCGAGUCUUUGAACGCAAGUUGCGCCCGAAGCCAUUAGGCCGAGGGCACGCCUGCCUGGGUGUCGCACGUCGUUGCCCCCCCAUCUACUCCUUCGGGAUUGCGGGGGGCGGAUGAUGGCCUCCCGUGCGCCUCGUCGCGCGGUCGGCAUAAAUGCCAAGUCCUCGGCGACGCACGCCACGACAAUCGGUGGUUGCGAAACCUCGGUUGCCCGUCGUGUGCGGUCGUCGCGCAUCGAGGGCUCGAAAAAAUUGCCGGGCUCCGGCACGGCUUUCAACGCGACCCCAGGUCAGGCGGGGUUACCCGCUGAAUUUAAGCAUAUCAAUAAGCGGAGGA
rnacentral:misc_RNA from 1 species